rnacentral:rRNA from 1 species
GAUGAAACGCUAGCGGCAGGCCUAACACAUGCAAGUCCGAACGGUAACAGGGAAAAGCUCCGCUUUUUCCGCUGACGAGCGGCGCACGGGCGCGUAACGCGUAUACAAUCUACCUCUUACAGGGGGAUAGCCUUUAGAAAUGAAGAUUAAUACCCCAUGGCAUUAUAAACCGGCAUCGGUUUAUAAUUAAAGUUUCGGCGGUAGGAGAUGAGUAUGCGUUCUAUUAGCUAGUAGGUGUGGUAACGGCACACCUAGGCAACGAUAGAUAGGGGCCCUGAGAGGGGGAUCCCCCACACUGGUACUGAGACACGGACCAGACUCCUACGGGAGGCAGCAGUGAGGAAUAUUGGACAAUGGGCGGAAGCCUGAUCCAGCCAUGCCGCGUGCAGGAAGACUGCCCUAUGGGUUGUAAACUGCUUUUGUACAGGAAGAAACCUUUCCACGUGUGGAGAGCUGACGGUACUGUAAGAAUAAGCAUCGGCUAACUCCGUGCCAGCAGCCGCGGUAAUACGGAGGAUGCAAGCGUUAUCCGGAAUCAUUGGGUUUAAAGGGUCCGUAGGUGGAUUGGUCAGUCAGAGGUGAAAUCCUGCAGCUCAACUGUAGAACUGCCUUUGAUACUGCCGGUCUUGAAUUAUUGUGAAGUGGUUAGAAUAUGUAGUGUAGCGGUGAAAUGCAUAGAUAUUACAUAGAAUACCGAUUGCGAAGGCAGAUCACUAACAAUAUAUUGACACUGAUGGACGAAAGCGUGGGGAGCGAACGGGAUUAGAUACCCCGGUAGUCCACGCCGUAAACGAUGGUCACUAGCUGUUCGGACUUCGGUCUGAGUGGCUAAGCGAAAGUGAUAAGUGACCCACCUGGGGAGUACGUUCGCAAGAAUGAAACUCAAAGGAAUUGACGGGGGCCCGCACAAGCGGUGGAGCAUGUGGUUUAAUUCGAUGAUACGCGAGGAACCUUACCAGGGCUUAAAUGUAGAUUGCAUUAGCUGGAGACAGCUAUUUCUUCGGACCAUCUACAAGGUGCUGCAUGGUUGUCGUCAGCUCGUGCCGUGAGGUGUCAGGUUAAGUCCUAUAACGAGCGCAACCCCUGUUGUUAGUUGCCAGCAUGUAAAGAUGGGAACUCUAGCAAGACUGCCGGUGCAAACCGCGAGGAAGGUGGGGAUGACGUCAAAUCAUCACGGCCCUUACGUCCUGGGCUACACACGUGCUACAAUGGUAUGGACAAUGAGCAGCCACUUCGCGAGAAGGAGCGAAUCUACAAACCAUAUCACAGUUCGGAUCGGAGUCUGCAACUCGACUCCGUGAAGCUGGAAUCGCUAGUAAUCGGAUAUCAGCCAUGAUCCGGUGAAUACGUUCCCGGGCCU